GGGGGAGCGUCACCAUCGGGCCCGGAGCCACCCCGGAGGGCUGCGGCCGCCGCGCCGCGGGCGGGGCGGGACCUCCCCGGGCGCAAACAAUAAGGAAGUACGGGGAGGGUGCGACGGGCGGCCGGGCACGUCGUCCCCCGCUGCCUCGCGGCCAGGUCCCGCCGGGGGCCGCGGUUACCACAGCGAGGAGGAGCGAGCUGCUAGCAACGUGGUCGGUUUUACGGCUUUUGGAGGAGAGCAGGGGAACGGCCCGCACACCCACGGAGCCAGCGGCUCCGGCAAGCGGUCCCCCAGCAAGGCUCCUGGGGCGGGGCGGCGGCCGAGCGGCCCCUGGGCACCUGAGCAGAGCGUCCGGCUGCGGCUGAGAGAGCGAGACGCACGGCUUUCAUGCUUCGAUGGGUUCUGCCGAGGAAAGCAUUGAGACUUGAACGCUAGGACAAAACCCCGGAGGCGGGUGAACGGAACACCAAAUCCGUUCCCUUUUUAAAGUCGGAUUUUUUUAAGCCAAUCUCGUCGGCUGCUUUUUCUCCUCCUCAUUUGGUCCCAGCAGUGCCCGCAGAAAAUUAAGGCCAAAGGCUCUGGUGGCACACGUGCAGGUGCGGCCUUUCCUGACAGUCAGAACGUCCUCCGUUUUAUUUUCUGAGGGUUACAUGUGGCAACCAGCAUCCUGCUAACAACGCCCUUUUAUUACUUGUGCUCAGACCCAUAUCUGAGACCUUUUCCAGACUCUAUGCUUUGUGCGCGCCAUUGCUUAUUGUCUGUGGUGAUUUCCAUGGAUGACUGCAGAAACACUUUGUUCUUAAACUCCGUUCUUUUCCUCGGGGGAGAGACGCUCGUUUGUUUUACAUCGUUUGUUUUAUUUUGAGUGUGAAGUCUCACUGCCAAGUAGCGGCCUGCCAGUGAGUGAGUGCAGAGCCGCUCCUCUGCGGGCACAGUCAGGAUCCCACAGAGGAGUGAGUGCCAAGGCGGCGGGAACAUCGCUGCGCAGUUGUCGUAUAGCAGAUAUUGCAGUGAUGACACUCAUACUGCGCCCUGAGUGAAAAUUUGAGCAGCUAGCAGUUAUUUCAAAGUGCCAAAUAACGUGACUCCUCCAGCUCCUGGCAUUGCACGCACCAUUUGUUCGUAGUUCCCUUCAGAGCUUUGUAGGAACCGGAAUGAAGGACAGACACUCUCUCUGGCAUAGCGGUGCCAAUGGAAAACAUGACGAAUAGCAGCUUGCUGUCAACUGCUCAUCACCGAUGCCCUGCUUUCAGCUCACCAGGCUGCCAACUGGGCUGUUUGCAGGGCAGCCCCGUACCCAGCCAGUCCCAGGGAGCUGGUGUGCCACCCUUUGGAUCUUUAGGCAGCCUAGUUGUAAUGGAAGUAAAUCAUGGAGUUACUGAGCCGAGGUCUGCAAUGCCCUGUGAGAAGGCCACAAACAGUCAGAACAACAGACAGCUGUGCUGGGUCACUGUGCUGUUAACACUGACUUUGGCCAAAAGAGGAUGCAACGUAGGCCCUUUGUCACCCGUGCCUGGAAGUGAGACUCACAGCUCACCCAUUCUACUUAUGUGGCACCUGGAGUUAACCAUGCUGAAACGAAGACUGACCAGGAGCAUUUUCAUCCUGAGAUGACUACUGAGGGACACGAGAAAAAUAGGAAUGCGCAAAUCAGUGGAAUCUUCUUCAUCUGGCUGGUGGCUCUUCAGCAGCGUCCCCCAGAGCUCAGUUCUAAGCCUGGUUCUGUUCAACAUUUUUAUCAGUUAUCUGGUUGCAUCAGUGGUGUGAUGUGGAUCAAAUUCAACUAUUAUACGCCAUUGUAAUGCAUUGGGCUUCAGUGAGAAUGGAGCUCCAUCUUAUGCAGAGUAGUCUUAUAUAAAGGGCAUUCUACAUGAACUUGUACCCAGAUGGUUUCUGUUUUGUAUUUUUCUGUUUGUCACAAGAAGAAGGCCUGUACCUCACUCAAAAUCAACAGAGGCAUGAACUCGUUUGGACUCCACUAGGACAUCAGGGCUGGCCAGCUGGUCCGAAGGGCCUUUGUGAUGUCAGCUGGCAAAGCCUCUGCUGGGCUUUGCAUUGUGUUGGACGUGGAUUUUGAAAAAUCGAACUUUAACCUGACGUCAUCAGCUCAGGUGCCACUCUGUCUUUCAGGAAGCUAGAGUUGUGCAAUGCAGCAUGUUCUAAUAACUCCUAGCUAAUGCAGGGCAACCUUUUCGGCUGGGCAGUCACAACUGCGUGCAUCAAAGUGCACUGCUGGAAUCCCAGGAGCAGGACCAGUGUUACUGGAAAUACAGCGCUCUAAAGAUAUUAUGAAGGCAAAUUUUGCAGGGACAGAGAAGGAAAGGAACACCUAUUUAUUGCCCAUGGAAGGUCGAGUAUUUACCUGAGUGUGGAAGCACUCUCCAGGGCACUUCAGAGCAAACAAGUGAAUGUGGCCAUAUUAUCCUCUGCUGGAAGUGUGCGUGGAGAAAUGUAUUCCUGACUCAUCCUCAAACACCAUGGAGUAGCUUGCCACAAAGGGUGCCUCUAAAUAGCCACAAUGCAACCAACAAUGGAUCUGUUUAAAGGAGGACACAAAGUCAAGAAAAUUCCCCAUCACCAUGCAGGGCCCAGCCAAAUUCUGUUCCUUAAAAGGCAAGCAGAGCUGACUGCUUGAAGAUCAAAACCACUCCUGCUCCUUGGAACCCCGUCAGAUGAAUGAUCUUUCUCUUUUCUUCUCCCGCUCUUGUAUCACAAGAAUGAGUGAGUUUCCCAGAUUAUAAAGGGUUGUUUUAAACUAUAAAAGAAGCGGAUGCCUCAUGUGGAGUUUGUUUGUUUGUAUCUUGUUUUGUUUUGUUUUAAUGGCAUUUAAACUAAAACCUGCGGCUCUGUCCAUAGCUAGCACUCACUAUUCUUCCUGGCUUGAAAAGCAGUGUUGGGGAGUAGCUUGGCAGAAGCUUUGUUUGUAAUCUCCUCGAAAAACAAGGCUGAGUGGGAUCAUUUUUACAAUCCUUCGCUGCUCUGAGCAUUUGGACCAAAGCGUGUAAAAACAGGAUAUAAAGCUAACUAUCAAGAUCUUCACCAUCUUUCCACUUUCCUCAAUGAAAAAAGCAGCUGACAAGGGUCAAGUGAAAUGCCAUUUUUCAGUCUUACGCACAUUAUUAUAAUUUCGGAUAAACAAGGCACCAGAGAUAAUUGCUUGUUUCUGUUUUGCAAAUUACUAAUUGCGAUAGCCAAGGUUAAAAGGUUUAGACAGCUUCCUUCCUUCUCUCUGGCAGUCAACAAUAUUUAAGAAAGAAAAAAAGAGCGACUCAAAAAGCAAAAUAACUUGAUUCAUCUUAAAGACACAAACCAAAUUAAAAAUACAAAUGUGACAAGUACUUGUUAAGAUUUGAUUUUAUGAACGUCUAGGUACUUUAGUCAUGUUCAUCAUAGAAAAUCCACCGGAAAGAAUGGGUUAAGGCUGCCCUUCUAUAAUGAAAAGAUAAUAUGAAAGAAAUACCUGGACUUCACAAUUAGAGAUACUGCACAUAAUGUGAAUCAGGCUUUCCUUUCCAAUUUCAGUUGUUUUGUACAGAAAUUGAAUCAAUUUUUCUCUAGUUCCAGGAAAUAUCUUAGAGACCCUUCCCUAUUCCAGGCUAUUACAAGAGGUUGCCUGAGGCACUUCUUUCCUCCUCCUGACUACAGGCUGUAAGUCUCUGCAAGCAUGACGAAGCUGAACUGCAGUAAAACUGCAUUACCCUGACACUGGUUUGAAAGCCCUAGGAAAAUUG